GCCAGCAUAGCAUAAUGGUUUAAGUGUUGGAUUCUGACUCUAGAGACCAGGGUUCAAAUCCCAGCUCUGCCC